rnacentral:lncRNA from 1 species
UCAAAUUUCGAACGGGUUGGGGAGAAUUUUACCUUUUUUGGCUGUCGACAGUGGCUCCGGUGCAGCGAUGAAUGAGGGUCGGUCUCCUUCUCUGGCGGCUGAUCCUUUUUCUCCGGCGAUGGCAGGUGCGAUUAGGGUUAGGGUUCCCCUACAAUGCGAUAUUUUUAUACUUAUUCUGCAUCGAUUUGGGUUGUCCAUUCGCAUCGACAUGGGGUGAGGAGAGUCGUCCGAUCAUUACCUGUUUAAGUCGAUUCCGUGGUCGAAUCUGGACCAUUCAUCACAAUUGAUCUCAUCUAUUCGAUCGCGUCUAAGAAGGGAAUGUAUAUGAACCGUUCACGCACGCGAGAUUGAAUAUGGGCCAUCGGAUUGCUGG